UAAAACCCCAAACAGCAAGCAAUGCAGGUGUAGAAGCAGACUUGUACAUUUUUCUAAAAAGUAUCUUUGUUUCUUUUAAGAGAGAAAGAAGAAAAGAAGAAGACAGUGGUCCUUGUCAAACCCAAAGCCAUAUAUGAAGACUUGGACAGUUUCUCUGCUACAUAUCUCAAUAUUUACCUUUCAACCGUCAAGAUUUCUAAUGUUUUCCUCCAAUUUCCAUGAGGGCAAGUAAACUUCGACGUGAUUGGAUAAGAUCUUCUUCUUCACCACAGAAAGAUAUGCUUUUGGCGCGUGCAGUCUCAACUCAUUUGGGGUGUGCUGCCCCCUACUGUGCUGGAGUGGACUAGUCGCUGCACUGGCCACCCUCCCCAGAUCCUCCCCCGCCACAUCCUGUACUAUUCUCCAUCCCUGGGUAUCCGGCAUGGCAGGGCUUGUCCAGGAAGUUUGAAGGCCCGCUGGGGCCCUGAAAUGGAGCCCAGCCGUGGCAACUCCAGCAGCCCAUUGCAUGGGGAACCCUGCCGGUGGUGCCUCCUGCUGGAUCACAAUGUGGUGUUUACUGGGGUUAGAGUAGGACUGAGGGGGCUGGAUAGGGUAAGGCUGAGGGGGGUAGAGGGACUGAGCGUGCUG